rnacentral:rRNA from 1 species
UUGGAGGGCAAGUCUGGUGCCAGCAGCCGCGGUAAUUCCAGCUCCAAUAGCGUAUAUUAAAGUUGUUGCAGUUAAAAAGCUCGUAGUUGAAUUUCGGGGUCAGUAGGUUGGUCAUGCCACUGGUAUGUACUGGUCUCACUGAUUCCUCCUUCCUGAUGAGCCGUAAUGCCAUUAAUUUGGUGUUGCGAGGAAUCUGGACUGUUACUUUGAAAAAAUUAGAGUGUUUAAAGCAGGC